CACGUAGGGCGCAAGCGUUGUUCGGAAUUACUGGGCGUAAAGCGCACGUAGGCGGAUUUGUAAGUCAGGGGUGAAAUCCCGGGGCUCAACCUCGGAACUGCCUUUGAUACUGCAAAUCUCGAGUCCGGAAGAGGUGAGUGGAAUUCCUAGUGUAGAGGUGAAAUUCGUAGAUAUUAGGAAGAACACCAGUGGCGAAGGCGGCUCACUGGUCCGGUACUGACGCUGAGGUGCGAAGGCGUGGGGAGCAAACAGG
rnacentral:rRNA from 1 species